CUACGGGUCGCUGCAGUGAGGAAUAUUGCGCAAUGGGGGAAACCCUGACGCAGCGACGCCGCGUGGAUGAUGAAGGCCUUCGGGUCGUAAAAUCCUGUCAGAAGGAAAGAAGUGUAUGGUAGCUAAUAUCUGCCAUACUUGACGGUACCUUCAAAGGAAGCACCGGCUAACUCCGUGCCAGCAGCCGCGGUAAUACGGAGGGUGCAAGCGUUGUUCGGAAUUACUGGGCGUAAAGCGCGCGUAGGCGGUUUUAUAAGUCAGAUGUGAAAGUCCACGGCUCAACCAUGGAAGUGCAUUUGAAACUGUAAGACUAGAGUAUUGGAGGGGGUAGUGGAAUUCCCGGUGUAGAGGUGAAAUUCGUAGAUAUCGGGAGGAAUACCGGUGGCGAAGGCGACUAUCUGGCCAAAUACUGACGCUGAGGCGCGAAGGCGUGGGGAGCAAACAGGAUUAGAUACCCUGGUAGUC
rnacentral:rRNA from 1 species